AUUGAACGCUGGCGGCAGGCCUAACACAUGCAAGUCGAACGAGUGGCGGACGGGUGGGUAAUGUCUGGGAAACUGCCUGAUGGAGGGGGAUAACUACUGGAAACGGUAGCUAAUACCGCAUACCAUCGGAUGUGCCCAGAUGGGAUUAGCUAGUCGGUGGGGUAAAGGUUCACCUAGGCGACGAUCCCUAGAUGGUCUGAGAGGAUGACAAGCCACACUGGAACGGAGCCACGGUCCAGACUCCUACGGGAGGCAGCAGCGGGGAAUAUGGAACAAGGGGCGCAAGCCUGAUGCAGCCGUGCCGCGUGUAUGAAGAAGGCCUUCGGGUUGUAAAGUACUUUCAGCGGGGAGGCGUUACCCGCAGAAGAAGCACCGGCGAACUACGUGACAGCCGCCGCGGUAAUUC
rnacentral:rRNA from 1 species